rnacentral:rRNA from 1 species
CCUACGGGGGGCUGCAGUCGAGAAUCAUUCACAAUGGGGGAAACCCUGAUGGUGCGACGCCGCGUGGGGGAAUGAAGGUCUUCGGAUUGUAAACCCCUGUCAUGUGGGAGCAAAUUAAAAAGAUAGUACCACAAGAGGAAGAGACGGCUAACUCUGUGCCAGCAGCCGCGGUAAUACAGAGGUCUCAAGCGUUGUUCGGAAUCACUGGGCGUAAAGCGUGCGUAGGCUGUUUCGUAAGUCGUGUGUGAAAGGCGCGGGCUCAACCCGCGGACGGCACAUGAUACUGCGAGACUAGAGUAAGGGAGGGGGAACCGGAAUGCUCGGUGUAGCAGUGAAAUGCGUAGAUAUCGAGAGGAACACUCGUGGCGAAGGCGGGUUCCUGGACAUUAACUGACGCUGAGGCACGAAGGCCAGGGGAGCGAAAGGGAUUAGAUACCCGAGUAGUC